rnacentral:lncRNA from 1 species
GUUUAACAAAAAAUGAAAAGUAAUUUUUCAAUCAUUAGAGAAACAGAUUCAUACAUACUGUGAAAGUACUUGUAUUCGUGGGGUACCAAUUUUCGUGGUUUUCAUGGAUGACUUUAUCCACCAAUUUAAGUGUCCAACGAAAUAAAACAACCAUUGUCCAAAUCAAGACAUGGAAAGAUCCCCAUCGGUAGGUUUGACUACUGAUAUGAUUUAGAGAAUAUAUUGAAUAACGCCAAAUUUGAGAAUACUUUAAUAGCAGCCACAGAACUACAACCGCAUGCAGGAUUAUACCCAUUUAAUCUUUAACAACCUAAACUGUACAACUUUUGAUCCUUUAAUUCUCAUAAAAAAAUAUUUUGAUCGAUGAAAGUCAGAUUUCUGGUAUUGAUAUGCUAGUAUGAUAAAGUGUUCAUUUUAUAUCCUCAUAGUUCUCGCACAUAUGGGAAAUAAUAAUUUCAUGCUGGGCUUGAUUUUGAUAUGAAUUAUUUGACAAUUAAAGAUACGUUUAUAGCAUUUGUUUAUGCUACUGUUUUCUUUAGGUGACAUGUUUAUGGCCUAAUUAACACCUUUGAUGGUCUUUAAUCUGUGUAUCACUUUAUCAUGUUAAAAUACACUACGAUUUACACGGGUCAAAGUUUAC